UACGGGAGGCAGCAGUGGGGAAUAUUGCACAAUGGGCGCAAGCCUGAUGCAGCCAUGCCGCGUGUAUGAAGAAGGCCUUCGGGUUGUAAAGUACUUUCAGUCGUGAGGAAGGUGUUAAGGUUAAUAACCUUAGCAAUUGACGUUAGCGACAGAAGAAGCACCGGCUAACUCCGUGCCAGCAGCCGCGGUAAUACGGAGGGUGCGAGCGUUAAUCGGAAUUACUGGGCGUAAAGGGCACGCAGGCGGUUAAUUAAGUUGGAUGUGAAAUCCCCGGGCUUAACCUGGGAAUGGCAUUCAAGACUGGUUAGCUAGAGUCUUGUAGAGGGGGUAGAAUUCCGAUGUGUAGCGGUGAAAUGCGUAGAGAUGUGGAGGAAUACCGGUGGGCGAAGGCGGCCCCUGGGACAAAGGACUGACGCUCAUGUGCGAAAGCGUGGGGAGCAAACAGGGAUUAGAUACC
rnacentral:rRNA from 1 species